rnacentral:rRNA from 1 species
UGCGAGUAGUCAUAUGCUUGUCUCAAAGAUUAAGCCAUGCAUGUGUAAGUAUAAGUAUUAUACGGCGAAACUGCGAAUGGCUCAUUACAUCAGUUAUAAUUUAUUUGAUAAUCGAAAGUUACAUGGAUAACCGUGACAAAUUACAGCUAAUACAUGCAGUCAGACCUGGUCCAAGGGUCGUAAUUAUUAGUAUUAAACCAUUUCCUACGGGAGUGUGAUGAAUCAUAAUAAUUGAACGAAUCGCAGAGUUCUGCGAUAAAUCAUUCAAGUUUCUGCCCUAUCAGCUUUGGAUGGUAGUGUAUUGGACUACCAUGGCAGUCACGGGUAACGGAGAAUUAGGGUUCGAUUCCGGAGAGGGAGCCUGAGAAACGGCUACCACAUCUACGGAAGGCAGCAGGCGCGCAAAUUGCCCAAUCCCGACACGGGGAGGCAGUGACAAGAAAUAACAACUCUUGGAUUUCUAAGAAGUGUAAUGAGG